rnacentral:tRNA from 1 species
CGCGAAGUAGAGCAGCGGUAGCUCGUCGGGCUCAUAACCCGAAGGUCGGAGGUUCGAUCCCUCCCUUCGCAACCU